UACAGAGGUCUCAAGCGUUGUUCGGAUUCAUUGGGCGUAAAGGGUGUGUAGGCGGCUCGGCAAGUCGGAUGUGAAAGCCCUGGGCUUAACCUAGGAAGUGCAUUCGAAACUGCCGAGCUGGAGUUCUGGAGAGGAAGGCGGAAUUCUCGGUGUAGAGGUGAAAUUCGUAGAUAUCGAGAGGAACACCGGUGGCGAAGGCGGCCUUCUGGACAGAAACUGACGCUGAGACGCGAAAGCGUGGGGAGCAAACAGG
rnacentral:rRNA from 1 species